GAGAUGAGUUCUCCCUGAGACUUAGAGUCUCCUGAAGGAACGUUGAAGACGACGACGUUGAUAGGCCGGGUGUGUAAGCGCAGCGAUGCGUUGAGCUAACCGGUACUAAUGAACCGUGAGGCUUAACCUUACAACGCCGAAGGUGUUU
rnacentral:rRNA from 1 species